rnacentral:rRNA from 1 species
GAUGAACGCUAGCGGCAGGCCUAACACAUGCAAGUCGAGGGGUAGAAGGAGCUUGCUCCUUUGAGACCGGCGCACGGGUGCGUAACGCGUAUGCAAUCUACCUUUUACAGAGGGAUAGCCCAGAGAAAUUUGGAUUAAUACCUCAUAGUAUAUAUCAUUCGCAUGUUUGGUAUAUUAAAGUUCCAACGGUAAAAGAUGAGCAUGCGUCCCAUUAGUUAGUUGGUAAGGUAACGGCUUACCAAGACGAUGAUGGGUAGGGGUCCUGAGAGGGAGAUCCCCCACGCUGGUACUGAGACACGGACCAGACUCCUACGGGCGGCAGCAGUGAGGAAUAUUGGUCAAUGGACGCAAGUCUGAACCAGCCAUGCCGCGUGCAGGAAGACGGUCCUAUGGAUUGUAAACUGCUUUUGUACGGGAAGAAACACUCCUACGUGUAGGAGCCUGACGGUACCGUAAGAAUAAGGAUCGGCUAACUCCGUGCCAGCAGCCGCAGUAAAAC